UACGGGGGGGGUAAGCGUUGUUCGGAAUUACUGGGCGUAAAGGGCUCGUAGGCGGCCAACUAAGUCGGACGUGAAAUCCCUCAGCUUAACUGGGGAACUGCGUCCGAUACUGGAUGGCUUGGAUUUGGGAGAGGGAUGCGGAAUUCCGGGUGUAGCGGUGGAAUGCGUAGAGAUCCGGAAGAACACCGGUGGCGAAGGCGGUUAGCUGGGCAGUUGCUGACACUGAGGCGCGACAGCGUGGGGAGCAAACAGG
rnacentral:rRNA from 1 species